GAUGAAGAACGUAGCGAAAUGCGAUACGUAAUGUGAAUUGCAGAAUUCAGUGAAUCAUCGAAUCUUUGAACGCAUAUUGCGCUCUCUGGUAUUCCGGAGAGCAUGCUUGUUUGAGUAUCAGUAAACACCUCAACUUCCAUAUCUUUUUUUGAAAUGGGAGUUGGACUUGAGUGAUCCCAACGCUUUUCCUCACCGAAAAGUGGCGGGUUACGUGAAAUGCAGGUGCAGCUGGACUUUUCUCUGAGCUAUAAGCAUAUCUAUUUAGUCUGCCUAAAAAACAGAUUAUUACCUUUGCUGCAGCUAACAUAAAGGAGAUUAGUUCUUGUGCUGACUGAUGCAGGAUUCACAAAGACAGCUUCGGCCGACUUUGUAAACUCGAUCUCAAAUCAAGUAAGACUACCCGCUGAACUUAAGCAUAUCAAUAAGCGGAGGA
rnacentral:misc_RNA from 1 species